rnacentral:rRNA from 1 species
UGAACGCUGGCGGCGUGCUUAACACAUGCAAGUCGAACGAGAAAGUCUUUGCUUGCAAAGACGAGUAGAGUGGCGCACGGGUGAGUAACACGUAGAUAAUCUACCUUCAAAGCUGGAAUAACUAUUCGAAAGGGUAGCUAAUACCGGAUAAAGUAUUUUAACAUAAGUUAAAUUAUGAAAGAUUGCCUCUUCUUGAAAGCAAUCGUUUGGAGAUGAGUCUGCGGACCAUUAGUUUGUUGGUGGGGUAACGGCCUACCAAGACUGCGAUGGUUAGCUGGUCUGAGAGGAUGAUCAGUCACACUGGAACUGGAACACGGUCCAGACUCCUACGGGAGGCAGCAGUGAGGAAUUUUGCGCAAUGGGGGAAACCCUGACGCAGCAACGCCGCGUGAGUGAAGAAGGCCUUUGGGUCGUAAAGCUCUGUCAACUGGGAAGAAGUUGAAUAUAUCCAAUAGGUAUAUUCAUUGACGGUACCAGUGGAGGAAGCGCCGGCUAACUCC